UACGAAGGGGGCUAGCGUUGCUCGGAAUCACUGGGCGUAAAGCGCACGUAGGCGGCUUUCUAAGUCGGGGGUGAAAUCCUGGAGCUCAACUCCAGAACUGCCUUUGAUACUGGCGACCUUGAGUCCGGGAGAGGUGAGUGGAACUGCGAGUGUAGAGGUGAAAUUCGUAGAUAUUCGCAAGAACACCAGUGGCGAAGGCGGCUCACUGGCCCGGGUACUGACGCUGAGGAGCGAAAGCGUGGGGAGCGAACAGG
rnacentral:rRNA from 1 species